rnacentral:rRNA from 1 species
AUGGCCAAGAUCCGACAGAGGAAGGCGAGGGGUGUCAACCAAGUCAAAUGCAUCAAGAACGGAGCAGAUCGGCUUUUGGUGAAGGACGAGGAGAUCAAGCAUAGAUGGCAAGAGUACUUCGACAAAUUGUUCAAUGGAGAGGAGAGCUCUACCAUUGAGUUGUAUGACUCCUUUGAUGGACUUCACAAAGGGUCAACUUUGAGCCCUUAUCUUUUUACUUUGGUGAUGGAUGAGGUCACAAGGGAUAUACAAGGAGAUAUUCCGUGGUGUAUGCUAUUUGCUGACGAUGUGGUGGUGCUAGUCGACGAUACUCAGAUGGGGGUUAAUAGAAAGUUAAGAGUUGUGGAGAUGUACUUUGGAAUCAAAUGGUUUUAG